UGAGGUGCUUGUUUUCUUCUGUCGCCCCUGGCACGGCAGUUGACGCAGCCGGUGGCUACCUGGAACGUACGCUUCGACGACUUCACCACAGCUGACAUCCUUGUGACAACAGCGGGGUCAGCUGUAAGCGUCGAUGGCUGCAGUCAACUGUUCAGAUAACGGAGCCGAAGCUGGAUCAUCUGAACCGGACGGUCACGUGGAAGGAUUUCGUUGCACAACAUGCAACAAGAUUUUCUCCAGCGACGGUUAUAGGCUUCGUCAUGAAAGAUACGUGCACUACCGUGCUGGAGGCCGCCACCUGUGUUCCAUCUGUGGCUACAGCUCGUCGAAUAUCACUUACCUAGAAGCUCAUCGACGCAUUCACACAGGGGAGCGGCCUUUCGCAUGCGGCGUCUGUAAGAAGUCAUUUGCGACAAAGCGAGUCAUGACCAAUCAUGUCAGCCGCGUUCAUGAAAGGUGCCUACUUCACGUAUGCGGAACAUGCGGCGUGCCAUUUUUCAAGCCGUGCGAAUUAAAGAGGCAUCGUAGAAGACACACGUAUGAGAAACCCUUCGUCUGCGACGUGUGCGGGAAGCAAUUUCAACAGAGCCACGCCCUCUCUCAGCACACACGCGUCCACGAGAAACAGCAAGCAGCGCCGCAGAUGGAUGUCCCUGAGACACAAAACGUGAAUAAGGAGGAGUGAGCUCCGUCGCGUAACACGCCACAGUAGAAAUAUUACACUGAUUCUUCUCUUUUGUCCACACUGUGAUAGGUGCAUGACAGUGCGCUUUCGGAUGGCAGACACGUUCAUUCGUCCCCCUUAUCGCGAUAAUAAAUUCGAGAGGCUUUCGGGA